rnacentral:lncRNA from 1 species
UCAGUUGACAAGGAAUAGCACAUCCCCCUUUCCGCGAGCCUGAGCCUUAGAUUCCUGAAACGCCCUCUCAUUGGCUUCAUGCACCGCAACUCUUUCACCAACACAAGUCUGCACAUUAGUCAAAAUCACAACCAAACCCUUCAAUCCCUUCUUCUUCUCUUCACCCCCUCUGUUGCACCGUCGCCCAAACGCCAUUACCUCCCUAAAAACCCUCCCAAAUUCAGAUUUCUUGACGCCCAAGGAACCAAGAACCUUCUCAACAACAACUCUCGAUUUCUCCUCUUCUUGAUCUUUAAAGAAAAGCCCUCCAUCUAGACAAAUAGUCUUUUCAUCCACAGCUUCUUGACACUCUCCGAUGACCGGUGAUGAAUCCGAUGAAGCCACGCCACGGGGUUCCAAGAAUUGUUGCUUAGCAUGAGUAGAGAAGGUAAUGUGGAGAGGAAGAGGAGAGCAAGUAGAAGUACAAGGAGGAUGAUGAUCAUAUGAAAAGGCUUUCCUUACACGAACUAGUAAGCUUGUUUUGUUAAGUUUGAGGAUGCUGUGAUGGGGAUAUCGUGCCAUUGUUUCGGACAGGAGUUCUUGGGAAAGGUUGAAUAUGAUGAUACUAGGGUUUAAGAAAUAUUGUAACGUACUGUAAUAUAAAGAAUUGUAUUAUGGGAGGACGGUGUGUACACACACACACGUAAGUAGACACCUUUUAGAGUAUCUCCAACGCUGUUGACUAUAAUUGUUGGUUAAAUUGGAUCCGUAAGAUAUUAUGUAAAAAUAAGUAGACACCUUUUAGAGCAUCUCCAACAUUGUUAGCUAUAAUCGUUGGCUAAAUUGGAUCCGUAAGAUAUUAUGUAAAAUUUGUUGAACCUGUAAGACAUUUCGCUUCAAUGGUAUUGGCUAUAUUGGUUGGCUAUAAUUUAAAAAUAGUAUGUUAUUAAUAUUUUAUAUUGUUAAAAUAGAAUAUAUCAGUUCAAUAUGUUAAUAAAUGAUGUGCAAUCUUCCUACAAAUUUGUUAUAGACCUGUAGAGGUUCGACAAAUUUAGCCAUCUCUAGGAGGUUGGCUAAAUUUAUAGACAACAGAUUUAGAAGCCUUUUUAUUGCUGCUUAAACAGCAAUAUAAAGCAAUUCUUCUAACAGGCACAAGCAUAAUAACUACCAAAAAAAUAAGGCAUCAAACAAGUAAAGUUGUCACAACUAGUAAAAUACAGAGCAGGACCAAAUUUUGAAUUGCAUAAAAGAUUUCAACCAUGAGAUUAAACUUUCAAUUGAAAAGUACUCCCUUUUUAUGAGCUUCAGACUUGGAUUUUUGGAACUAUAUCUGCACCCCUUCAUGAACCGGAACUCUUUCACCAAUACAAGACUGCGAAAAAUCAAAGUCACAACCAGAACUUCUAAAGUUUAAGCGGACCAAAAUUCAUAAAAAAGCACUCUCAAAUUAAAUAUUCUAACACGAAAUACACAUGCAAAUUAACUGUAUCUUGGAUAAGAUAUAAGUGGUUAUCAGCCGUCACAAUUCAAAACCCUAGCUAUAUAAGAACAACAAUCAGCAAAAGAAGGAACUUUUGAUUUUUUUUUGUUGUAAUCUAACAAUGCAGACCAGGAAUCAAAUUCAGCAAAACAGGACAUUGGAAUAAUCUUUUGUGAACCAAACUAAUCAUAAUAAAACUCAUACAAUGUCCCAAACACCUAAUUCUAAUCCAUACUGUAUAAACCAUUAUUCCUCUGCUUAAAAAACCUUGAACAGCAUACAUCUCAAUUCUUCUAGACAGACACAACUAUGACAAAUACAAGGGUAUUAGCAUCAGAAGAAUAAAGCUGUUCUCAACUAGUGACAUACAGAGCAGAUCCAAAAUUAAAAUUAGAUUCACAUUUGAAACACAAAUUGACAUUAAUUAAGUGGUAAUCAGCAACAAUAAUUAAGCAAUUAGCAAUCAGAAGAAGACUCAACACUAUGACUCAAUUGAACUGUCCCCGAAAUCUAUUCCUAAUCCUCUCCCACAGAAACCCUCUAAGUAAAGCACACAAACUUUGAACAACCUACAUCUCAAUUCUAUUUCACAGACACAAUUAGACCAAGUACAUUGAAUUUUAAGUCAUCAGAAAAGUAAUCUUUUCUCAACUAGUAAAAUCCAGUUCAAGAUUUCGAUUCACAUGCAAGAUCUUCACCCCCAGCCUCUCAGUUGACAAGGAAUAGCACAUCCCCCUUUCCGCGAGCCUGAGCCUUAGAUUCCUGAAACGCCCUCUCAUUGGCUUCAUGCACCGCAACUCUUUCACCAACACAAGUCUGCACAUUAGUCAAAAUCACAACCAAACCCUUCAAUCCCUUCUUCUUCUCUUCACCCCCUCUGUUGCACCGUCGCCCAAACGCCAUUACCUCCCUAAAAACCCUCCCAAAUUCAGAUUUCUUGACGCCCAAGGAACCAAGAACCUUCUCAACAACAACUCUCGAUUUCUCCUCUUCUUGAUCUUUAAAGAAAAGCCCUCCAUCUAGACAAAUAGUCUUUUCAUCCACAGCUUCUUGACACUCUCCGAUGACCGGUGAUGAAUCCGAUGAAGCCACGCCACGGGGUUCCAAGAAUUGUUGCUUAGCAUGAGUAGAGAAGGUAAUGUGGAGAGGAAGAGGAGAGCAAGUAGAAGUACAAGGAGGAUGAUGAUCAUAUGAAAAGGCUUUCCUUACACGAACUAGUAAGCUUGUUUUGUUAAGUUUGAGGAUGCUGUGAUGGGGAUAUCGUGCCAUUGUUUCGGACAGGAGUUCUUGGGAAAGGUUGAAUAUGAUGAUACUAGGGUUUAAGAAAUAUUGUAACGUACUGUAAUAUAAAGAAUUGUAUUAUGGGAGGACGGUGUGUACACACACACACGUAAGUAGACACCUUUUAGAGUAUCUCCAACGCUGUUGACUAUAAUUGUUGGUUAAAUUGGAUCCGUAAGAUAUUAUGUAAAAAUAAGUAGACACCUUUUAGAGCAUCUCCAACAUUGUUAGCUAUAAUCGUUGGCUAAAUUGGAU